GUCGUAUUGUGUAGACAUGUGUAAGUAAUGCGAGUGAUAUUACUCGGGUAAUAUUACUCUACGAUGUAAUGCAACAUCACACAUUACGCGAAGGAAACAAACAUCACACUAUCACCCAACAUGUUUCUUUCUUUGUCGUGUAAUGUUGCUUAAUACAUGAACGGAACAGAGCGAGCGAGACAGACCGAUAGACGCAAAAUAAAUGAGCAAGCGACACGGAAUUAUUCCUAGUGAUUUUGAACCGUAUGUCCUGGCCGCUAGGUACAUUUUUAUACCUAUGGUACGUCUGAAUUUUAAUAUAGGUAUUUGUGUUUAUAUUUUUCAUGCGCCCAGCCGGUAGUUCCCCGCAAGUACUUACUUAAUUUUUUAUUCGCAACUUUUGUAAAAUCGCUAGUCGCUCGUAAUUGUUUAGUAAUAUUUCAUAAUAAUUUUUGUGUUUGAUUUGAAUUACUUAAGCACUUGUUUGAAGAUAGUUUAAUUAUUUGUUUUAAUGCGUGUUUAAUAAGUGAAAGAAAGAAUGGCGUCUAAAUGAAAGUACAGUCCUCCUUGGAUGCACUUUGAGGAUAUCGCGCCGAAACAAUGCAUCUACUGCUCUCGUAUAUUAACAUUAUUGUCGAGCUCAAUUUGCAGUCUAAGUCGCCAUAUGAAAUCCGUUCAUCCCACAAUAAAUUAUAUUAAGUAAAAAAUAAAAUUAUUAUAUUAUUAAGUAAGUCAAUCUCUGUCAAGUAAUAUAACAGUGUAUUACAAUGCAAAGUUCAUACUUUGUAUUGUAAUACACUACUGUAAUGAUUCGGGUGUAUAGAUACAAUGCAUUCGUCGUCACAGUAUCUAUUGAACGCACCGAGUAAUGUUAAGAGUGAUGUGUAAUAUUUUCGAGUAAUAUCACCUGUCUGUAAAAGUGAUGUCAUAUCACAUUACAUUGGGAAGUGAUGUUUUGCGCAAGUCUAGUAUUGUGGCCGUUUUUAUAAUGUUUCAGAUCAAAAUCGAUGAACCAUCUAUUGACAAUCAGAGAGAACUUAGUUGCGUUUCUAACAUGGGUAGUCUAUUUUGUGUUCACGAAAUCGAUUAUAUUAAUAUAUGAUACGAUUGUGAGAUUCAGGUCUAACAUGUUUUUUGCGUCUAAACUAUACACGCGAGCAAAAGUUUGGAAUCACUUACUUGAAAUUGGUUCCGUGCGAUCUUGCUUACUAAAUAAAUUUGUAAUUAUUAUAAAAGUCACAUCAUUUUAAAGGUUCAACUGUCAACUUUAAAUUGAUACCAAAUUCAUUCAAAUCGAGCCAGUAGUUAAGGAGCUAUUUCGGAUUAAGUGAAGGAGGUAGGAAACAAAGGAAAUAUGGAAAAAUAAUGAAUGAGUAGAACAACAAAAAUAAAUAAAUAAAAUUUUUAUUUAGCCUUAAAAUUAAAUGUCAGUACUUUGUGUAAGGUUUAUGAUUAUUUAUAUUAAUAUGAUUAUAUAGAGUGUAAGGUUUCUGAUUAUUUAUAUGAUUAUAUAGAGUCCUGUACAUAUUAAGAAUUAUUAUUAAAUAUGAGGUUUAUAUUGCAAACCAUUAAAAUAUUGUUAAGUUAUAAAUUCAACAGUUGACAAAUGUCGUCAAUAGAUGUCACAGGCUAACAAAAUUACAUCGCGGUAGCGUUGUGUGUAAAAAUUUGUAUAAGAAGUCCAAAGUAAUUAUGAAUAAAUCAAGAACCAAACGCAUCAAUGUAAAAUUGGCAGAUUAAAGCAAAGUGUGAACAAAGUUAGCCUGUUUAAUUUAUAUGUCUGACACCCAAAAGGUCAGAAGCGGGAUAAAUAAGGCUCUAGAAAACUAACCUUACUACGCCCACGGAUCGGUAAAACGUAAGUUAUUAUUAAUUAUUUACAUCUGAUUCAGUGAUAUUGAAAAUUCUGAUGGUUGUGAUUUUUUUUUUUUUUAUAUGAAUUUUCUUUGUCUUGUUCCUCUUCAUAAUACAAACCCGCACUGAGUCAUUUUUUAUUAUUGCCUUGUAACCGAUCAGUGCAAGCGCACUGAACAAUCGACCACGUAAUGAUCACAUGUGCGUUGGGUUGAAUAAACCAAUGACGAAGAACCAAUGAAGAAAUCAAUGACGAUUAUAACUUUGACUUAAUAUAAGUAAUUAAACUUAAAACAACAAAUUCAUUCUACCCACCUGCCGUUUUAUUUACAUGGUGACGAAAAAGUUAAGGGUUUUAUAGGCUCUAUUAGAAUCUAACGACACUCGUUAUUGCAUUGGUUUAAAUGUUUACAUAAAUAUAUUAGAGUGCGUCAGGUCUUUGGAAAUACAUGAUUUUCGAUGAAUGCACAUGCAUAAUAAAGUUUAUUUUCUUUUCUGUUCCCCGUUCCACGAGGAGUCCUCUUCUAGCUUUUCGGAAUGUACCCGAUAUUAUGCCAUUUAAAUUACCCUAUUCUACUUUUUGCAAUUAUUAAACCCGGUUAAAGCAGUUUAUAAUUAUCAUCAUUCUAAGCUCCACAAUGUGAGUUUCAGUUACGCUCAUCAUCUGUGACGUGGAGGACGACACUAGCCGAGGAGAAGGGUCUGGUGCUCGGCUAGUAAGAGGAAGUGGCUUAAUGAUAAAAGGAGCCCAUGUGCUUAGUCGAGGGGAAGGACUAACACAUAGGGAAUGACCAAGGAGCAUCCGAGGCUGAGGAUGUAGGUCACAUGUGCUUAGUCGAGGGGAAGGGCUAACACAUGGGAGUGACCAAGGAGCAUCCAAGGCUGAGGGUGUAGGUCAACAGGGAAGGAUUGGGAGGAUGAGCUCGCGGAUAGAGCAAGGAGCAUCCGAGGUUAGGAUGUAGGGUCCAUGUGCUUAGUCGAGGGGAAGGACUAACACAUGGGAGUGACCAAGGAGCAUCCGAGGUUAAGGAUGUAGGUCAACAGGAAAGGAUUAGGAGGAUGUGCUCGAGGAUAGAGCAUGGAGCAUCCGAGGUUGAGGAUGUAGGGCGACAGGAAAGAAUUAGAAGGAGGAGCUCGAGCAUAGAGCAAUAUGUAACAUUUGAUAAAAUGGACAAGGACACGAUGAUUCGAAGAGAACGGUUGCGUGGAAAGCGAUCGAGUGAACGACGAUCGCGUAAGCAGCGGUCGAGCAGGCAACAAUCAAGCGGCUCUGAUGACAGGGACGAAUACGAAA